rnacentral:rRNA from 1 species
UACAGAGGGUGCGAGCGUUAAUCGGAAUUACUGGGCGUAAAGCGUGCGUAGACGGUUAUUUAAGUCGGGUGUGAAAGCCCCGGGCUCAACCUGGGAAUUGCAUUCGAGACUGAAUAGCUAGGGUACGGUAGAGGGAAGUGGAAUUUCCGGUGUAGCGGUGAAAUGCGUAGACAUCGGAAGGAACACCAGUGGCGAAAGCGGCUUCCUGGUCCAGCACCGACGUUCAGGCACGAAAGCGUGGGGAGCAAACAGG